GCCCCCGUAGUUCAAUGGAUAGAACGCUAGGAUCUGAACUUAGUGGCUGGAGGUUCGAGUCCUCCCGGGGGUG
rnacentral:tRNA from 1 species